GGGCGGUGACCAGCAGGGGGCGCUGGGUCGGCGCUCUCUGUGUUGUGUCCAGCCUUCCAUAGAAGUGGUGCAGAGGCUGAACCCGGAAGUGUCUGGGAUGAAAAGGACAGGUACUUCCGGUGAAGCUGAUUUCGGGUUGCUGGAAUUUCCUGUUCAGAGCUGACAACUCUAGCUAAAUAACGGGAAAGCCUCAAAAAUACAUCUCAUGACGGAGAAUGGAGAAGGAGCGCGGUCACAUGACAGAGAGGAUAUUAAACCUCACCCUGGAGAUUAUCUACCUGCUGACUGGAGAGAUUUAUGGGCCUUUAAAGGAGCCAGGAGGAUGCGUGACACCCAGAUAUCAUCCACAUAUCACAGGAUGGUGGAAUAGAAAUAAGUGCCCCAUUAUGGAGCCUCCAUCUUUCUCUCUAACAUCAGAAGGAAAUGACAAGAAGAUCCUAGAAGUCACCCAGAGGAUGAUUGAUCUGCUGACGGGAGAGGUGAGCGGUGCCAGGAAUUCUGGGACAUUAUCCAGUAACAGACAAGGGAUGUGUCUGGAUGGUGACUGU